UACGUAGGGACCAAGCGUUGUCCGGAAUCAUUGGGCGUAAAGCGCGCGUAGGUGGCCAUUUAAGUCCGCUGUGAAAGUCAGAGGCUCAACCUUUGAAAGCCGGUGGAUACUGGAUGGCUAGAGUACGGAAGAGGCGAGUGGAAUUCCUGGUGUAGCGGUGGAAUGCGCAGAUAUCAGGAGGAACACCCGUGGCGAAGGCGGCUCUCUGGGACGGUACUGACACUGAGACGCGAAAGCGUGGGGAGCGAACAGG
rnacentral:rRNA from 1 species